rnacentral:tRNA from 1 species
AUAUAAAUAGUAUAAUAAUAAUAGAAUAUCUAUAAUAUUUAUAAAAAUUUUUAUAAAAAUCAAAUUUAUAUA